AAGACACACACGGACAGAUACACACGGAAACACACAGCCACGCAGAGUCAGAUGGAGAGACAGAUACAGAUAAAGAAAGUCCUCCCUUCCCCUCCUCCCUCACCCGCAAGUCUCCCCCCAUACUGUCCUCCCCCAUCUCCAGUUGACCAUGGCAUCAGAAGCAGAAAGAACAUUCCAGCGGUUUGCUGUCUUUGGAGAAUCGUCAAGCAGUGGCACUGAAAUGAACAACAAGAACUUCUCCAAGCUGUGCAAAGACUGUGGCAUAAUGGAUGACAAGACGGUCACCUCCACUGACGUGGACAUCGUGUUCAGCAAAGUCAAGGCCAAGAAUGCCCGAACCAUCACUUUCCAACAGUUCCAGGAAGCAAUGAAAGAACUGGGCCAGAAGCAGUUCAAGGGGAAAAGCCCAGAUGAAGCCCUGGAGAACAUUUAUAGACUCAUGGAAGGCAAAGACCCAGCUACCACCGGUGUUACUAAAGCAAUGACGGUGGGAGGGGUGAGCCGGCUGACGGACACCAGCAAGUACACGGGCACCCACAAGGAGCGCUUUGACCAGAGUGGCAAGGGUAAAGGCAUCGCGGGACGGGAGGACAUGACUGACAACUCAGGCUACGCUUUCCCCUCUCCAGGACGCCACACGCUCUCCAACUCCAGGAGGACUCUACACCGCAUAAGACAGAAGACCUCCAUGACCUGGCCGCCACCAUGUCUCCAACUGCAUCUCCAUCUCUGCCUGCUUCCCCCAUUGGUGCCCACCCCACCUCUCGCUCACGUUAUCUCCUCUACCCAGCAUGCUCCUCUCUCCUCCCGCUCUCACCCCCGUCAGUUCCGCUGAGCCAGCUCAUGUGAAGAUCAGCCCGGAUGUCCUGUUUAAGAAGCGUCUGCUUGGAGCACCUCCCCAGCGAAGUGUGCACAGCCAAACUCCCUGCCCAGUCCUUGGCCUGAUGCCUGACUCCUUUUGUUCUCCCUAACCCUGUUCCCCUUCCUCCAUCCUUUCCUCUCGCCCUAUGAAUGUAGUGAAGGAAACAUGGCAAAAUUAUCCUACCGAGUGCAAAGUGAAACGGAUCUUGGAAGCUGGAUAGUUUCGGCGAAAAAAGUAAACAAAAUCACCUGCCUUAUCCAAAUAAUGGAGGUGAAAUAAGGGUUUCAGCUUGAACUGUGCAAAUAGUAGGUUCGACUUUUCAGUUUUCACACGCAAACCUAACCCUUUACUCCCUCUUCCCUUUGAACUGGGACAGCACGGCUGUGUUUACUUUCACAGAGCGCUAAGGAAGCCUUCUGGAGAACCCCACGUGAUGAAGUUAAAGGGCAAACUGGGAUAAUUAUAAUGACAGGAAAAUACAAGAGCAGAGAGCAGUGCAAGCCAUGGUUUGGAAACAUCUCACCCUAGAAUAAUGAGAAGUGAGGAGGAGUCCGGGCAGGCGAGGAAUCCAAAUGAGCUCCUGGCCUCCCACCCCCUCCUCUGACCCCAGCCUCCGGUCCAGGGCUGGCCUGAUCCACAUUCUGUCCACAGUCUGCUUUAAACCAUGGAUUUUAUCUCCAAACAUUUGCAUUUCUACAGCAGCAGAAGCAUAAUUCUCUACCCAGAAGUUCCAACUACAAAGAUUCAGGCACCUGAACAAAGCAGUGAAUGCUGCUGCCCAGCCAAGGCCUAACAGAGGGGGAACCGGAGGAGCAGGAGGCCUGGGGGAACUGGCUCCCGCUUCUCUGCUGCCACCUAGUGGUGUUUCUCCCUCCAGCACCAUUUUUUAUUCCAAAGAUACUUCAUCCUGACCCACAGCUAUGCUCUCUAUCUGCUAAAAUGAUGUCCCCUGACCUCAAAACAAACACCCAUCUUCCUGACUCAAAAUCCUAACUUCUGGACCAGAACACAAACUGUAUGACCCAUAUGGUUUGCGUGGGCCUCUCUGCAGUCACAUCCACACAACAGCUAGGGGAUUUUUAAACAGAUAGGGCUUUUACUCCUCUGCUACUUUUUUUUUUUUUCUUUUGGCCAUGCCGCACAGCUUGUGGGAUCUUGCAGGAUCCCAGUUCCCCAAUCAGGGAUUGAACCCGGGCCAUGGCAGUGAAAGCCUGGAAUCCUAACCACUAGACCACCAGGGAACUCCCUUUAUUCCUCUGCUUAGAACCCUCCUAGGGCUCCCCACUGUGUGCACAGCAAAACUCCUAAUGGUCUCUGAGGCGUCCCGUGAUCUGGCCUCUGGUCCCUCUCUGACCCCAUCACUCAUCCGCUCCAGCCACACUGGACUCCUCACUGUUCCUCCAACUCCCCAGGCAUCCAUCUGCUUUAGGGCCUUUACAGUGCUGUCCUCUAUGCUUGGAGCAUUCUUCCCCAGACAAGCAUAAGUUCACUCUCACCUUGAAAUCUUUGUCCCAGAGUCACCUACUUCAAUGACCCUAUUUAAAAAUCACUGCCUGAACACUCUUUGACAUAAAUCGCAGCAAGAUCUUUUUUACCCAACUCCUAGAGUAAUGAAAAUAAAA